rnacentral:rRNA from 1 species
GACGAACUGUGCAAACGUUAUUCGGAAUCACUGGGCUUGAAGAGUGCGUAGGCGGUUUCGUAAGUAGGGUGUGAAAGCCCCCAGCUCAACUGGGGAACUGCGUCCUAAACUGCGAGGCUGGAGUGAGGUAGGGGUGUGUGGAACUUCCGGUGGAGCGGUGAAAUGUGUUGAUAUCGGAAGGAACGCCGGUGGCGAAAGCGACACACUGGGCCUUGUCUGACGCUGAGGCACGAAAGCCAGGGGAGCAAAC